ensembl:lncRNA
GGGGACGAGGGGCGCGCGAGCGGCUCGCGCGGGUUGCGGUGUCUGGCCGCUCGCGCACCGCAGCGCCGCGCCCCCGGCCCCCCCGGCCCCCGCCGCCUCCUCAUCCCUGCUCCCCGCCCCCCUUGUUUAUUUAUUUGCAAGACGUGUUAACAAGUCCUCCGCGUAGACGGGUGGGGAAGCAGGGGGGACGCGACACCCCCGAACUCGCGCAAAGCACUGCGAGGGCGAGGACUUGACUCCGCCGCACGGUCCCCGAGUGGCCGCCGGCCCAGGGGUGCGCGGCGAGAGAGGGGGGUGUGGGCGAGGGACAGCCCCCGCCACCCCCGGCCCGGCCCUGCGGGAGCCGCCCGGAGCGAGUCUCGCCCUCCCCGACGGGCAGUUCCCGAGGGCGGGCGCGCAUCCCCGCCUGCGGGGAGCGGGGCGGUGGCAGCCACGCCGUGAGGGGCCGGGGGCCGCAGCAGCAGCGCCCGCCCCCGCCCCCGGCGCGCAGGGAGGCUCCCGGCCGGGGGCGGCGGUGGCGGGGGGAGGACUGAGGCUGGAAAGGUGCGUGUUCGGAUUGCCGGAGGGCCGGUCUCGACCCGUGCGUACGGAAAUGAAGCUGCCGUUUGUGACGAGCGUCUUAUGCCAAACCUUCAGGAUGUCUCAGGAUGUCCAGAGAUUUUUCCACGCCAGUUCUGCUAAUUGAGGGGGAAAAAAAGGGUCAUUGCAAUUAUGUAAUGGCUCCCUCUAGCGUGCCAGAGAUACUGCUGCAUUUGGGGUAUGUCCCGUGUGCGUUCCUCCUGUGGGGUGUGUGUGUAUGAGUAUAUAUGUAUGCACAUACUGUGGGCUGUACACUGUGCCUAAGUGUGUACACAUAUGGUAACACUAUUUCCACUUUCAGAGCAGGAAAGCACCAGCAGGAGUAAAAAAAAAAUGGUUUGUAUUACGGUGGCAUAUAAUAUGUAAUAUAUUUCUGACAAUGUUUCCCAUAUUUAGUUUAAAAAACAGCCUCAAAACCCAAGAUGAAUUUUACUUUUUUUUCUUUUUUUUUUUUUUUUGAGGAGGAGGAGGCUAGUGUCUCCAUCACUUUUUUUCCUCUAACCUAGUGAGUACCUUUAUUUUUUUCUUUUUUUUAUAUGACUCAGCAUUACACAAUAAAUACUCUGACUCCACAAUGAAGUCAAUACAUUUGAGGGCGCUCUGCAGUUUGUAAAACAAGUACUCGGGACUCUGAAUUAAGGGAAAAACUAUAUAACCCUUUAUACAAGUAACUGGAGUCUUUGCUUGUAAAGUCUGUCUUUUUUUAUCAAACAUCUUGCAGCUUACAACAAUCCAUUGAUACCAACGACAUGCACGGAAUACUUAGAGGAAAAAUAAAAUCUGAAACACUAGCACUGGAUCUUCAAACCUCUGACUGACUGCCAGGUGAUGAUGAUAAAUGAAACUCUUACUCCUUGCUCUACAAGUCACUUUGGUUUUGUGGUGUUAAGUUCAGCAGAGCUACAUUUUAAUACUCAUUUUCAGGUAUGGUUGAUUAUUAAUUAUUUCUAAUGAUUUCUUGGAAAUCAUGCCAUCUUGGCAUCUUUACAAAUUGUGGCUCUUAAACCCAGUAGAGACUUAGAUGCCUAACUGGAAAAAUACACAUAAAAAAAUCGUGUCUGCAUAUGAAUAUAUGCCUCUGUCAGGCUGAUGUUUGUUGCAUCAGACAGUUUAUAACAACAAAAUGGCAUUUAUUGAUUUUAAUCCACCUGUGCAAGUAAUGAAUAUUUUAUUUGUUUGAUGAUUUUACAGUAUAUCUAUAAUACUUUUUCAUCAAUUUUUUAGCACACAUUGCAUAUUUGAUAGCUUAGACUGGCAUCAUAAUUUCAUAUUCGUUCAUCAGAAAUUUUUGUAUUUUUCACAAAGAAGAGUUGGAAAUGAAAUGUAUGAUGGGAAUGCAAAUGAAUGCCGAUAAUACCUAUAUGUUGUGCCAUGUCACUAUAUAUUGAAUAUAUAGUGUGUGUUUAUAGCUGAAAAACAACUGAAAAAAAGAAAAUAAAAAAGUGCUUAUUAACAGCUUGGAGAUAAAUCUGGACUGUGGAGACGCUAAUACCUAGAAAAAACACAAGUCCUUAAUAAUAGAAAUACACGUAUAGAAGACUUGAACUGUCUGCCAAAUCAAGAAAAGCACAUUAAAUAGGAGAAGCUCAACAGAGGAGCAAAGUCCAAUAUAACAACCCUAACAAUUAACUGUGUAUGGAGUUAAAUUAUGCUUUGGAAUGCUACUUUUCAAUGUUUGAAGUAUUUGUUUAUUGGAAGCUAUAGUUUGACAUUAACCAAAAUAACAAGCAGUAAAAGGACACAUCUCCAAACAUUUUUUUUAAAAAAUUGAUUUACUGAAAACAUAACACAGCAGUAUUCAGUCUUUUUCUGUGAAGUGUUCAUGAUGAAAUCUAGUACUUUAUUAUUCUAUCUUCAGCAAAGACAGGUAAACCUUUCUUCUUUCAAAAAAUAAAAAAGGAAAUAAAUAAGAAGUACCCUCAAUCAGAAGUGUUGAUAUGAAAAUCUUUUGUCUUGGUUUGGAGGGUGCUUAAGCAUAGCACAGAAUUCUCAGAACAAAUAUCCCUAAACAACUAAAAGAAAAUAGGCAAGGAAAAGAUCAAUAUAGUUAAAUGUCAAGGUUCAGUAUUUAAGCUAUUUGAGCCUGAAAUGUAUCAUUGGGAAAGCCCAAAUCCAAGAUGUUUGAGAACAAUAGAAAGAAUUAAAAUUAGAAAGGCCAAGGAGCAAAUUUGAGGGAAAAAGAAUCCAUAUAUAAGACAAUUAAUUACCUACUAAUAAAUAAACAUGCUUUACCCAUGUGAGGAAGCCACGAUGAAACUUUAUGGCCUAUUAGUUAGACAGCUAUAAAACAAAAAGUACUGCAGAGAAAUUGUAUUUCUGUACUCUAGUACUCAUAGCAAAUGAAGAUAUUUCCUCAGGUCAACUUUUUUUUGUAACAAAGAUGAGAUGUGGGUGUGUAUAAGGUGUCAGUGGUGAUAUUCUUAAAGAGGAGAAAGCAUCUAACUAAAUGGUAGUCAUCAAGCAUUCUUACAGAAUCUGAAAAUGAGGUAAAUGAACUGUUAAAAAUAUGCAAUCAUUAAGAUCAGUUACUAUGACUGAGGAUUAAAACAUACAAAAUGUUUCUCUUUUAAAAAGACUAAAAGGGUGAUCAACAAAUUGUGGUGCGGCAAGCUUUACUUUUCGUAACAGUAGUAUAAAAUAGGUUAAAAUAACAAUUAAAAAUAGAAAUUAUAUGGCAUCUAGAGAAGUGUAAGAGAAGUACCGUCCAGAAACUCGAUGAAAUCAAUAGAAACCUUUCCACUGAUUUGAUUCAUCCCAUAGUAGCAAAGUAGCACAACUUGUGUAGACUAAAAGGGCAUUCUUUCUGUUUAUUGGUAUUGUUUCAAAAUAGUAACAGAAUAGCAGAUGAAACCACUUUUGUUGCUCUCUAUGUGAGCAGUUUUAUGUCAAUUUAAUUGUGAGGUCACACCAGCAAGACAUGUAGAAGAGAGAGUUGCUGAGAAAGGGAACACAAAAUAACAGGGCAGUAGGUAAAGGCAAGAGGGGGUACGUGUCAGCAAAUGAUGUUAGUGGGCUAAAGGGAGAAUAGGGCCCAAGAAGAGAGAAGAGUAGGAAAGGGCUGCUGAAGCAGAACACGGGGCUAUUUAAAAGGCUUCAGGCAAAGGGAAUUAAUGAGUAAGAACUCAGCCUGAGAUUGUCACUGAAAGAGUUGAUACGUAUGGCUUCUAUGUAGCUGGGAAUACUAUGCUUACAGUUAUACCUGUAUCAUUUUGAAAACACAAACAAAAAACCACAAAGAUUCAUUAGGCUUACAGAAAUGGUAACUUUUAGGCCAGAGGUAAGGUCUUAGGAUUUGUAUUCUUAUGCCGCUUUUCAGCCACAUUAUUUAAUCAUUAUUUAGUACAAUAUACAGAUACAUUUUUUGCUUUUUGUAUUACAGUGAAAGCAGGGCACACUGAGAUCAAACCCAGUGUGUUUCAAACAGACUAAGAAGUUUUCUUAAUGAGUUUUUUUUUUAAAAGCAAUUUCUUUAAGAGCAGUUGAAAUAUUGAAAACUGGUUUCCUACAGGUGUGUCUUUUAAUUUUCCUUUUGCUACUACUACCAGAUUCCUCCUGUGUCUGAUGGUUACCCUGCAGAUAUGAGUGGCUGGCUGAGAGGGACAUGCUGCUGGGCCAGGCAGCAGCUGCCUGGAAAGGUACAACAGCUACCUUUACUUCUCUCGGGGUAUUGAUUUAUGUCACAUACAUACCCGCUAACUGAAAUGAAAUUUAAACUGAAACCAUCUUUAAACCGCUUGCAAAUUUGAUUGAAAUUGUCCAGUAGCUCACAGAGUUGCUGGGAAGAAUGAUGGAGAGAGAGAGACACUCAGAUAAUGGUCAAGGGGGCUGAUGUUUUUACUUGCAUAGCCUCCUUUAAAAAACUUAAACAUUUAAAACACUUUAGCCAUUUGGUUAUAACAUGAUGCCAGUGCUGGAAUUAGGAUAUGGCACAGUAAUAUGAUCAUAUGACUUGACAUGUUAACAUAAUGCAUGCACUGCCAGUAGCAGUGAGAUAGGAAUAUACUGUAAAUAUAGACACUAGAUCUUGUAAAAAAGAAAAGGAAAUAUCUGCAUUUUCAAAUAAAGGAUAUUCUCUGAAGCAUUUUAAAACUUUUCUGAAGCAAAUAUUGUAUGGAUUUUUCUUAAACCUGACAAUUUUUGUUUGCACAGUAAAUUACAUCAAACCAUAUAGAGAUCAACAACAAUAUGUUUUACUUCACUGAAUAAUGAAGUAGUUUACUGAUGAAAAUCUGUUUUGUGAAUUAUUUGUGACAAGUUUGUUAGCGAGUAGAGCACAUAGACCUGUCAUUAUGAUUUAAAUAUUUGUUUAGAUAUUUAUAAACAUCAUUAAAUUUUAUGAAAUACUUGUUUUAGUAGAUGGGAUUUAGUUUGACUGCAGUUAUUGUUAAUGGUUAAUGUCUCCUACAUCCUUUAAAGAUUAUAUGGCAGGACAGGUUGUUGUCUUGUUCCCCUUUGGCUUAGGCUGCACUCUGGAAAUAUUGUGCCAUUCCUUGAGAAUGGUCAAAUAAAGAAAUUUAUGGAAAUGCAGGACAAAAAAGGAGAAGGAGGAAGGGGGAAAGAAAACAAGAGUGAGCAGAAACUCCAAUAAAUGCUGAGAAAAUUGAG